ACAGCAGGACGGUGGUCA
rnacentral:ncRNA from 2 species